AAGGAUUUAAGUUAAUAAAACUAGAAGCCUUCAAAGCUUCAAAUAAAGAUUUUAUCUUUAAGCCUUA
rnacentral:tRNA from 1 species